GCGGGUGUAGCUCAAUGGCUAGAGCACCAGCCUUCCAAGCUGGUGAUGCGGGUUCGAUUCCCGUCACCCGCUCCA
rnacentral:tRNA from 1 species